rnacentral:rRNA from 1 species
UACGUAGGCAGCGAGCGUUGUUCGGAAUUACUGGGCGUAAAGAGUGUGUAGGCGGUGUUCCAAGUCUGGUGUGAAAUCUCCCGGCUCAACUGGGAGGGUGCGCCGGAAACUGGAAUGUUAGAGGGUGGGAGAGGUAAGCGGAAUUCCUGGUGUAGCGGUGAAAUGCGUAGAUAUCAGGAGGAACACCUGUGGUGUAGACAGCUUACUGGACCACUUCUGACGCUGAGACACGAAAGCGUGGGUAGCAAACAGG